rnacentral:rRNA from 1 species
CGGCGGACGGGUGAGUAACGCGUAGGAAUCUGCCCAGUAGAGGGGGAUAGCCCGAGGAAACUCGGAUUAAUACCGCAUAAGCCCUACGGGGGAAAGGCCGGGAUCUUCGGACCGGUCACUAUUGGAUGAGCCUGCGUGAGAUUAGCUUGUUGGUGGGGUAAAAGCCCACCAAGGCGACGAUCUCUAGCUGGUCUGAGAGGAUGAUCAGCCACACUGGGACUGAGACACGGCCCAG